GGUUAAGUCAGGCAACGAGCAAGACCCGUGCCCACAGUCGCCAGCAUACCCUCCGGGGUGGUAGGCACACUGUGGGGACCGCCGCUGCUAAAGCGGAGGAAGGCGCGGGCUACGGUAGGUCAGUAUGCCCCGAAUCAUCCGGGCUACACGCGGGCUACAAUGGUUGGGACAAUGGGCACCUACACCGAGAGGUGAUGGUAGUCUCCUAAACCCAGCCUUAGUUCGGAUUGAGGGCUGCAACUCGCCCUCAUGAAGCCGGAAUCCGUAGUAAUCGCGUAUCAAUAUCACGCGGUGAAUACGUCCCUGCUCCUUGCACA
rnacentral:rRNA from 1 species